rnacentral:rRNA from 1 species
AUUGAACGCUGGCGGCAUGCCUUACACAUGCAAGUCGAACGGUAACAGGUUAAGCUGACGAGUGGCGAACGGGUGAGUAAUGUAUCGGAACGUGCCCAGUCGUGGGGGAUAACUACUCGAAAGAGUGGCUAAUACCGCAUACGACCUGAGGGUGAAAGCGGGGGACCGUAAGGCCCUGCGCGAUUGGAGCUGCCGAUAUCAGAUUAGCUAGUUGGUGGGGUAAAAGCCCACCAAGGCGACGAUCUGUAGCUGGUCUGAGAGGACGACCAGCCACACUGGGACUGAGACACGGCCCAGACUCCUACGGGAGGCAGCAGUGGGGAAUUUUGGACAAUGGACGCAAGUCUGAUCCAGCCAUGCCGCGUGCGGGAAGAAGGCCUUCGGGUUGUAAACCGCUUUUGUCAGGGAAGAAACGAGUUUCUCUAAUACAGAGACUUAAUGACGGUACCUGAAGAAUAAGCACCGGCUAACUACGUGCCAGCAGCCGCCGUAACAC